rnacentral:rRNA from 1 species
CGAAGGACCCGAGCGUUAUCCGGAUUCAUUGGGUUCAAAGGGUGCGUAGGCGGAUUAGUAAGUCAGUGGUGAAAGCCCGUCGCUUAACGGCGGAACUGCCAUUGAUACUGCUAGUCUUGAGUAUGGUUGAGGUGGGCGGAAUGUGUCAUGUAGCGGUGAAAUGCUUAGAUAUGACCCAGAACACCAAUUGCGAAGGCAGCUCGCUAAGCCAUAACUGACGCUGAUGCACGAAAGCGUGGGGAGCAAACAGGAUUAGAUACCCUGGUAGUCCACGCCCUAAACUAUGAUCACUCGUUGUUGGCGAUACACAGUCAGCGACUAAGGGAAACCAUUAAGUGAUCCACCUGGGAAGUACGACCGCAAGGUUG